AUCUGUGUACUCGAGUCCUCCUGAAGAGAAUCCUUGUCUUGGCCUGAGUAGAGAGAGCACUUGCAGAACUGGUAGCUGUUUCCUGUUGAUUGUGCUUCGUGAAAUCAGUUCCUAUACAUCUUCAACUGUGCGCUGUCUUUAUCUUGAACUGAAGGAAAGUUUCCCAUUAGAAUGCAACUCUGAUGGACUGGAUAGCUGUGUGCCCACCCUUGAAGCUGUAAGCAUCCUGGACACCCAUUCCAGAAGGAUGUUUUUGUCAGAUGGACAUAGUACUUUCUCUGAUAUUUAUAAGUUUUUACUGCCUCAGAAAUUGAAGUAAAACGUGCCCUGAACUUGCCCGUGAUUUCAGCAUGGUGAUAGAAUGUAAUGUGCCACAACUUGCUACAUUUAGGAGACAAUGGCAAGAUUUGGAGUCAGCAGUAAAAACUCAACUCCUUGUUGCUUUUUUUAUCCACGAUCACGUCUAUACUUGUGCUUUUUUUGCUUUGUAACUCAGCUGCAGAUAUCUGAACAUAUCCCCAUCGUAUGCCUCCGCUGAGAAAUAACUUUCUGAAACAGCAGAACAGAACUCUCAUAAUCCUGCAUUUACUGAUAUGUUCCUCUCUGCCUGUAGAAAGUGCGCUAAGUGGUGGAUUUGAGUCUUCAUAAAUGCAAGAGAAAGGGGAUAUAUCCUUGAGGUUGGAUUAUUGCACCUGAAUAUUAGUGAUUUUUUUUGUUUGUUGCUUAACCAGUAGAUUGUCCAGAAGAACGAACAACCUGGACAGAAAUGGUCUAGCUGAUUGUAUAACUUUCAGAUCGAGAUACCACUGAAUUAAACUUGCAUGUCAUAGCUGUUUACUUAGCAUUUUUAAAACAUGAUCCAAUAUCCUUGCCCAGAACAGUAGGUACGUUCUACGAAAAAAAUAUCUUUUCUCAGGCUUUAGAAAGACCAAAAUGUUUCAUUUUCUCUAAUAAAAUAAUUUUCCGUAUUGUUAUCCUUCAGCAAAAUUUUGAAGAUGUUCUGUUAAAAUGGGAAAUUUCCCUUAAAACCUCACACUUUUUUCUAAAACACUUCCCCUAAAAAGAGCCAUCUGGAAAAAAAGUGGACAAUUUAACUUUUAAUUUGUACUUGUUACUUUAUCCAGCUUCUCAAGAAGCAGGGGGUGAUUUUAGUACUCAAAUGAGAACUUGGUUUUCAAAGCCUGUCAGCUUUCUCUGGAAUGUGAACGUUUCUGUCUUUGAACCUUUCGAACACUCUCAUAACAAGGAUGCUGAAUAAGCAUAUUUUUUCAGCUCAAUUCAGGGCUAUAUUUUAGGGUCAGAGUUGUUUUUUAAUAGCCAUUUUAGCCUUUCUGAUACUUUCUAUUCUUAUAGUUAUUCAGAAAUGUGCAUGAAAUAGAAAUGAAUUUGAAUAUUUAUCUUGCUUCCCUUUCCAAUUACUUGCAAUGAUUUUUUAUAAGCUUAAUUUUUCCUUCGUUGUUCAUGAUGUAUUCUUGUCUUCAAUUCUGAGUAGUUGCUUUAACUGAGACUUAACAGAAGUUUUUGAUGGUGAAUACAGAUGCAUUCAAAUAAAACAUUUUAUUGUAGCGCGUUCAAAAAUAACUAUUGGUAUUAAUUGCACUGUUAGUGAUUCAAAUAGAAAACUGAAUUGUUUGUAUAGCCUUAUAUUAACAGCUAAGUAAAUCACUGAUAUAAAAGAAUGUAUUCAGUUCUUGAAGUUUUACCUCAUGGCUUAGAACAUAACAUUCUUGUUUUCUUCCCUAUGUUCAUUUGAACUUGUUAGCUGAUAUUCUUUUCCAUAUGCACUUGAAGUUGUUCAUAAUUUUUUAAUGAAUAUUUUUUAGAAGUAUUUUCUUGAUCAGCGAGUUUUUGUGAGUAGUUGAUUGCAAGUAAUUGGCAAUCAAAAUGCAAACUCUGCUGAUUCAUUUUUAUUAGACAUAUCACUUAUAACAAGGUAUUGGUUCUCUUCC
ensembl:lncRNA